rnacentral:tRNA from 1 species
GCCUGGGUAGCUCAGUUGUCUGGGCAUCUGACUUCAGCUCAGGUCAUGGUCUCGAAGACUGCGAGUUCAAGCCCUGCAUCGGGCU